GUUUUCAUUUAUUUGUUUGAAAGAAAUUUAUACAAAAAUUUUAUAAUUUAAAUUGAACAAAAAAAGCCGUGGCUUCUUAAGGGUAGAUAGAAUGAUAAAUUAAUAUUGUAUAUCAGUUUUAAUAAAUAAAAGAAGGUAAGAUAGAAGAAAGGAGGAACAGAGGGAGACCAAGGCAUAAUUACAUCAGGCAGAUCAAGGAAGGAAUUGGUGUCGUGUCGUAUCAAGAGGUGAAGAGACUCGCUGAAAAUCGUAGUGAGUGGCGGUAGAAAACUUUUGGCUGAAGAAUAUUUAGAGGCGAAUGAUGAGACAAGCUGUGCAUUCCACUUGAGCGAGUCUGUGUCUGCUUCACUGAGAAUCAUGGCUGUUUAUAGAGACGAGCAGUUGAAAGCCGCUGGUAAUAAACUUCAUAGGAUCACAUCCCAUAUCAAGCCCGUAAAAGAUUUGAUUGACUCAAAUCCAAUGUGUAAAGAGGACGAGAAACUAUUUGAUUUCAUAUCAACUGACGCAGCAGAGAUAACGAAAACAUUGGAAUCGGCAAAAAUUGAAGAGGACCCUCUGCAUAAGAGAUAUAUGAGGUUCAGCUCAGAAAAUAAUGUGGACAACUUUAGGAAAAUAUUAAAUGAAUUGCCAAAAGAAUGGACCGUGGUCCAGUUGACAGCACCGUACAAUCCCAACGAGAAUUUAAAACCGAUGAACGAAUUCAGAACAGAAAUAUAUUCUAUAUAUUUGACAGUAUUCACUAAUGACUAUUUAAGUGAAACUGGACCGUUCACUGUCAAUAUUCCCGCCAAUUUAAACAAAGAAGGCGAAAAACCAUUAUUUACGGAGUUAUAUUCCUUAUUGGACGAGAAUUAUGAAACAAUAUCGAACGCGCAGUUUCUGAACAACAAACGGUUGGUGCAAAACUAUUGGAGCAGGAGGGAAGACAUCGAUUUGAGGAUGAAGAGUGUAAUAAAUGUAAUGGAGAAAGAAUGGCUCGGUGGAUGGGGCAGCCUGUUGACUGGGAAACUGGUGGAGGUCGGCCUUAAGGAGAGGAUUGUUAAAUUGGUGGACACUACUAUAUCAGAUUGGGGAUUCAUAAAACUCACAGCCAAACAGAGAGUACUGCUGUACAAUUUGAUAGAGAGUAGCCCCGUGCUAACUUCACAUCAAAUAAAACCCUGCAUUAGGAGAAUUUUAACUGAACAUGGCAACACUGAGGAGGUUAAACAAGCCCUUGAGAAAAUAGAUUGCCAGACAUGCGACAAAGAAUUUAAGUUUUUAAACGAAUUGUGCCUACAAUGCUUGUCGAAAGCGUUCGAAUCGAUUCAUCAGUUUACUUUAGUUGAUGGUAUUAAGGCAUUUUCUCAAGUGGCAACUUCGGUUAAAGAGGACGAUGAGUGGGUAAUCCUGAAGAAGGCGGAGAGAUAUCCAGUCAUACUAAUUGUUGAUGAAAUCCUCGACUCGUUCCCGUGGGAAACGCUACCCAUUCUGAACCACCAUCCAGUUUGUAGAAUGGAGAAUAUCCAUUUCAUAUAUUAUCUAUUUAAACUUCACGAGGAACAGUUCGUUGGUGGAUACUUCGAAGCCAGUGCUGACGUGGGGCGAUAUGUCAUCAAUCCAGAUAAGAAUUUAGAACGCAUGGAGAAACGCAUGUGCUCCUUCGUGAACUAUUGGUGCAGUGACUGGACCGGCCACGUGGCAGAGCCACCUUCUCCCGAGGACUACUUGAGGCACUUGACACAAGCUGACAUAUUCUUGUACUGCGGGCACGGCGACGGCUGCCACCUGGCAAGCGGCGGCGGCGGCGCUGGUGUGGAGGGCGUGCGGGCGCGGGCCGUGUGCGUGCUGGCGGGCUGCGGCUCCGUGCGCCUGCAGUGGGCCGCUGGUCGCGGGCCGCCCGCCGCGCCGCACCACCGACUACACGUGGCCGCCAGGUAUACACUGUGUGCUGUGUGCUGUGUGCUGUGUGCUGUGUGCGUGCUGGCGGGCUGCGGCUCCGUGCGCCUGCAGUGGGCCGCUGGUCGCGGGCCGCCCGCCGCGCCGCACCACCGACUACACGUGGCCGCCAGGUAUACACUGUGUGCUGUGUGCUGUGUGCUGUGUGCUGUGUGCGUGCUGGCGGGCUGCGGCUCCGUGCGCCUGCAGUGGGCCGCUGGUCGCGGGCCGCCCGCCGCGCCGCACCACCGACUACACGUGGCCGCCAGGUAUACACUGUGUGCUGUGUGCUGUGUGCUGUGUGCUGUGUGCUGUGUGCGUGCUGGCGGGCUGCGGCUCCGUGCGCCUGCAGUGGGCCGCUGGUCGCGGGCCGCCCGCCGCGCCGCACCACCGACUACACGUGGCCGCCAGGUAUACACUGUGUGCUGUGUGCUGUGUGCUGUGUGCUGUGUGCUGUGUGCGUGCUGGCGGGCUGCGGCUCCGUGCGCCUGCAGUGGGCCGCUGGUCGCGGGCCGCCCGCCGCGCCGCACCACCGACUACACGUGGCCGCCAGGUAUACACUGUGUGCUGUGUGCUGUGUGCUGUGUGCUGUGUGCGUGCUGCCGGGCUGCGGCUCCGUGCGCCUGCAGUGGGCCGCUGGUCGCGGGCCGCCCGCCGCGCCGCACCACCGACUACACGUGGCCGCCAGCCCCAUGGUGGUGGGCAUGUUGUGGGAAGUGACGGACUUGGAGGUGGACAAGAUGGUGAGCACGCUGGUGUCUCUGUACGUGCCUUCAACAGCAGCGCCCGCGUGGCCCAGCGUUGGGAAGACCAAGUGGAGCCAGGGGCAACUUGAUACUGAUGUAGCCGAGAAGAGUCCAUUCGUGCCAGAACGAGACCUACUGCGGGCGGUGGCCAGGUCGCGCGGCUCCACCAACUACGUGAUGAUAGCGAGCAGCAUGGUCGCCAGAGGGCUUCCCGUUCGAAUCUCA